UAGUUAUGUUCUUUAAAUUUAAUAAAUUUGGCGGUGUUUUAGUCUUUUUAGAGGAACUUGUUUUUUAAUUGAUAUUCCUCAUUUUAUCUUACUUAUUUUAUUUAUUUUGUAUAUCGCCGUUAUAAGUUUAUUUUUUUAGAAUUUUAAUUUACUAAUUAUUAUAUUUGAUUUUAUUUCAGGUCAAGGUGCAGUUUAUAAAUAAGUUUAAAUUAGUUACAAUAAUAUUUAAUUAAAUGGAUUAUUAAUAGAAUUAUUUUUAUAAAAGUGGAUUUAAUUGUAAAAUUUUUAAUAAAAUGAUUUUGAUUUAUAGCUCUAUAAUGAGUACACAUCGCCCGAUCGCUCUA
rnacentral:rRNA from 1 species